GAUGAACGCUGGCGGCGUGCCUAAUACAUGCAAGUCGAGCGAGCAGACGAGGAGCUUGCUCCUCUGAUGUUAGCGGCGGACGGGUGAGUAACACGUGGAUAACCUACCUAUAAGACUGGGAUAACUUCGGGAAACCGGAGCUAAUACCGGAUAAUAUAUUGAACCGCAUGGUUCAAUAGUGAAAGACGGUUUUGCUGUCACUUAUAGAUGGAUCCGCGCCGCAUUAGCUAGUUGGUAAGGUAACGGCUUACCAAGGCAACGAUGCGUAGCCGACCUGAGAGGGUGAUCGGCCACACUGGAACUGAGACACGGUCCAGACUCCUACGGGAGGCAGCAGUAGGGAAUCUUCCGCAAUGGGCGAAAGCCUGACGGAGCAACGCCGCGUGAGUGAUGAAGGUCUUCGGAUCGUAAAACUCUGUUAUUAGGGAAGAACAAAUGUGUAAGUAACUAUGCACGUCUUGACGGUACCUAAUCAGAAAGCCACGGCUAACUACGUG
rnacentral:rRNA from 1 species